rnacentral:rRNA from 1 species
UACGGGGGGGGCAAGCGUUGUUCGGAAUUACUGGGCGUAAAGCGUGCGCAGGCGGUUUCGUAAGUCUGUCGUGAAAUCCCCGGGCUUAACCUGGGAAUGGCGAUGGAGACUGCGAGGCUAGAGUUUGGCAGAGGGGGGUAGAAUUCCACGUGUAGCAGUGAAAUGCGUAGAGAUGUGGAGGAACACCGAUGGCGAAGGCAGCCCCCUGGGUCAAAACUGACGCUCAUGCACGAAAGCGUGGGGAGCAAACAGG